rnacentral:rRNA from 1 species
GUGCCAGCCGCCGCGGUAAUACGUAGGCAGCGAGCGUUGUUCGGAGUUACUGGGCGUAAAGCGUGCGUAGGCGGUGCCAUAAGUCUGUUGUGAAAUCUCCCGGCUUAACUGGGAGGGUGCGGUGGAAACUGUGGUGCUGGAGUGUGGGAGAGGUAGGCGGAAUUCCUGGUGUAGCGGUGAAAUGCGUAGAUAUCAGGAGGAACACCUGUGGUGUAGACGGCUUACUGGACCAUGACUGACGCUGAGGCACGAAAGCGUGGGGAGCAAACAGGAUUAGAAACCCCCGUAGUCC